UACAGAGGGUGCGAGCGUUAAUCGGAAUUACUGGGCGUAAAGCGCACGUAGUCGGCUUUGCAAGUCGGGUGUGAAAUCCCCGGGCUCAACCUGGGAACUGCAUCCGAGACUGCAUUGCUAGAGUAUGGGAGAGGGAAGCGGAAUUUCUGGUGUAGCAGUGAAAUGCGUAGAUAUCAGAAGGAACAUCAGUGGCGAAGGCGGCUUCCUGGACCAAUACUGACGAUCAGGUGCGAAAGCGUGGGGAUCAAACAGG
rnacentral:rRNA from 1 species